rnacentral:pre_miRNA from 1 species
GAGAUUGAAGCUGCCAGCAUGAUCUGGUGUUGUCAAAAAGUCACCUCUGUGUGUGUGUGUUUGUGUUUGUGUGUGUAUAUAUUGGAAGGAUUAAGUGAGGUCAAUUAAUCUUUCUGCGUGUUUUUGAGGUGUUUAUUAGUGUGUGUGUGUGUGUGUGUGUGUUUUUAUGAGUAGGGUAAGAGAGCUUAACCAGGUCAUCUUGCAGCUUCAAUCACUCG